ensembl:lncRNA
GUAUGCGCCUACUGUGGAUUAUCCCUAUGAUUCCUGGAUUAAAGACUCUUUGCUUGUACUCACUGUUUCUCUCUUGUUCCUCCCGCAGUGAAGUGUGACAGAUGACCUGACCAAAACCUUUAAAUUCAGUUUGUUUACCUUCUGUUUGUUUUCCAGUUUUCCUCAGUCCUUUUGUUUUUGUUGUGGUGUUAUGGAUCCCCCUCCUUUGCCUGGAAUACCUCCUCCUUGAGCAGGGGGAGUAAAUGCUCGGGGCCCACACCAGACUGUUCUGGGUCCUGUCAAGCUUUACCAACUACCCAGAGGAUGUGCUUGUGCGUUCUAUGACGCCAGUUUAAAUGUCGUGCACAGAGCGCCAUCGUCCGAGAACAGUCCCUGAGUGAAUUUCGCCACCUUUGUGGAGUGGACACUGGUGUGAAAUGGAUCUGUUCCCCGCCGGUUCCCAGGGAUUAAUCGCCAGUGCCACUCCUGACCCAGAGCCCAGCCCAUCAUCUCCCCAAUGUGUCAAGCCCACCACUGGUGGAGAGCCAUCGCCUCAUGGAUCUGCAGUGCUGAGGAUCACCGCGGAGCCAGUGCUGCUGAAGAUGUCAGUAAAGGGGAGUGAGCUGGCAACAGCGCCUGCAACGAGGGAGAGUGCUGCGGAUGGUGUGAGCAUGCAGAGGAGCUCCACCCCCUGCACCGGGGCUGAGGGAGGGCUGACAAUGGAACGCCAGAAUGAGGAGGAUCUCCUUGAAUGGGAAUCGGGACUGAAAAUUGAACUGGCCCCUCUCCUCUCUCUGUCGUCUCUACUGUUCCCGUCCAGCCCUCCUUUGUUCUUGGUUUCCUCGUCCAGCCCUGAGGGGGCUUCCAAUCCUCCAGUGCCUUUUCCUUGAAGGUGUCCUCCAGUGCCUACUCCUAGAAUGUGCCAUCCAGUGCCUGCUCCUUGAAAAUGCCUGCCCUCCCACCUGUUCCUGCCUCAACCGCUGUCAUCUGGUAGCCCCUCUACUCGUACUCAGCCCACCAUCAUUGCAUUGCAAGCUAUGCGGGACUGCCAUCCUCCAGCAUCGCUGUGAUUGUCUCCUGCCUCUGAGGCCUGGACUCCGCCUCGGCCCGUUGACCCAUCGGCUCC